rnacentral:rRNA from 1 species
UUACUAGAGCAAAGGAUAGACAGCGCCCGCGGAGCUCGCUCCCGGGGCUACCCUACUCCCGUAGGGUUUAGAGUCGUCGGGCCUCUCGGAGAAGCUCGGUCCUGAACUCCACCCUUGAAUAAACUACCUUUGUUGCUUUGGCGGGCCGCCUCGUGCCAGCGGCUUCGGCUGUUGAGUGCCCGCCAGAGGACCCCAACUCUUGUUUUUAGUGAUGUCUGAGUACUAUAUAAUAGUUAAAACUUUCAACAACGGAUCUCUUGGUUCUGGCAUCGAUGAAGAACGCAGCGAAAUGCGAUAAGUAAUGUGAAUUGCAGAAUUCAGUGAAUCAUCGAAUCUUUGAACGCACAUUGCGCCCUCUGGUAUUCCGGGGGGCAUGCCUGUUCGAGCGUCAUUAUAACCACUCAAGCUCUCGCUUGGUAUUGGGGUUCGCGGUUUCGCGGCCCCUAAAAUCAGUGGCGGUGCCUGUCGGCUCUACGCGUAGUAAUACUCCUCGCGAUUGAGUCCGGUAGGUCUACUUGCCAGCAACCCCUAAUUUUUUUAAGGUUGACCUCGGAUCAGGUAGGGAUACCCGCUGAACUUAAGCAUAUCAAUAAGCGGAGGAAAAGAAACCAACAGGGAUUACCUCAGUAACGGCGAGUGAAGCGGUAACAGCUCAAAUUUGAAAGCUGGCUCUUUUAGGGUCCGCGUUGUAAUUUGUAGAAGAUGCUUCGGGUGUGGCCCCGGUCUAAGUUCCUUGGACAGACGUCAUAGAGGGUGAGAAUCCC